rnacentral:rRNA from 1 species
GGACUACUGGGGUAUCUAAUCCCGUUCGCUCCCCUGGCUUUCGUGUCUCAGCGUCAGCAUUUCCCCAGCGAGUUGUUUUCACCAUUGGCGUUCCAAAUGAUAUCUACGCAUUUCACCGCUCCACCAUUUGUUCCACUCGCCCCUAGAAAGCUCAAGACAACCAGUAUACCAAGCAGUUCCACGGGUAAGCCGUGGGAUUUCACAAGGUACUUAGAAGUCCGCCUACACACGCUUUAAGCCCAGUGAUUCCGCCUAACGCUCGAGGCCUCUGUAUUACCGCGGCUGCUGGCAC